rnacentral:rRNA from 1 species
UACGAAGGGGGCUAGCGUUGCUCGGAAUCACUGGGCGUAAAGGGUGCGUAGGCGGGUCUUUAAGUCAGAGGGGAAAUCCUGGAGCUCAACUCCAGAACUGCCUUUGAUACUGAGGAUCUUGAGUUCGGGAGAGGUGGGUGGAACUGCGAGUGUAGAGGUGAAAUUCGUAGAUAUUCGCAAGAACACCAGUGGCGAAGGCGGCUCACUGGCCCGAUACUGACGCUGAGGCACGAAAGCGUGGGGAGCAAACAGG